AAAUCAUUUACCUGUCAAUCUUGGAAGGCCCUAAGCUGAAGGAGAGCAUCAAUUGUCAUGAGAGAUAAGCAAUAUCUAUUAGACACGCAUACUAUCAGGCUAACGCAAACCACUCGGGAAUGAAGUAUACUUACCGUAACUUUCUAUGUGUUGACUUGAGUUUUCCUGUUAGUAAAAGAAACAUGCCAUUUUUCUGCGGUUCAUGGAUUCAUGCUCAAUGUUGAAUUAUUAUCUGAUCUGCAAAAGCAUGCCUUACUGCUGCUCAUGGUCACAUGAUUUAUAAUUUAUAACUACAAUUAUUUAAAUCAGUAUCUUGCAUGAAGUCUUGACAUCUAGCUUGAUCAAAGAUUCCACUGUGUGCUUAUUUCUCCAUCAUAUUGCACAAUGAAUAAUAUCAGUAGAUAAAUAUCUCCUUUUUAUGCAAUGAAUUUCAUGAAAUAAAACAGCGUCGAUCACUGUCUCCGACGUAAUCUUAAGUGCACAGGCAUGGCUUACUGUCACUGCUUUCUUGUAGUAUUAGUGUCGUCUUUGGCUGUUUCCUUUCUUGAAUUUUCCAAUGACAGCGUACAUGCCUAAACAUAUUCAAAGUUGUUGAUUAUUUUGUUGCAAAUAUAGUAUUUAGUAAUUUGACGUGAACCCUUGAAGGUCCAAUUAAGGCUAUUUGACUAGGAAGCUAGGUGAUAUGUGCUCAAAAGAACCUACCCCUGUUAUGCACCAGUUUUUUGCCUUAGCGUUGUUUCUGCUGUUAUGCUAUAUAUCUUGUAUUAAUUGAAUUUUGAAGAUAACGAUUAAGGAAUUCAUCUACAAUAGGAACUUACUUCCCAACAAGGAAAGUCCAGUGAUUGGGCAACAACAAGUGGAAGGAUAAUUACUGGAUACUUUUUUUAGCGAACAACUGUGGAGCGAUUUGCUAUCUCAAAACAUGUAAGUUGUGAUGCCCUCUCUGGAAUCGAAUGACUAAUUCGUAAAACAGGAUCUGGUUCUACAAUUUUAUCAAAAUUAAUUUGGCACUACAAAAACAUUUGUCAUUUCAUCUAGGAAUAUUUUUAAAUAGUUAAUAAAUCAUACAGACUUGAUAUUUUCUUGGUCUCAUGCAACUAUGUGUUGUUUCUUAUUUUACUCAACAAUCAUUUGUGGCAAUUAUGAGUUGUUUUUCGCCAUUCGUACACUAUCCCUUAAUUUUACUACGAAUAUAUGAAAGUACACACCAAGGGGUUUGCAAAAAUUAAAAAAACUAGGACACAAGCACGAGUCACCUUAUGAGGUGAUGAUGUAGGAGACACAAUGAGGUGAAAGAGAUGUGAUGGACAUAGAAGAGUAAACCCAUGAGGACAAAGAGAUGUGAUGCACAUAGAAGGAGGAAGCAAGGACCUCGAUCCACAUUAUUGAAGACAUAGAUAAGAACAAGAGUAUCACACUUCACACAUCAACCAAUCAAUGACACAUGUUGGUAUUGGGGCAUAUCGCCCUCCCUUGC
rnacentral:lncRNA from 1 species